UAGCUAUAUCAUUCAGAUUAGUUGAAUCAGGACAUAGCUAGCAUUAGGGUUUGAAAGGGACUCAUAAAUUAACUAAUAGCCACUUGGCCUAAUUACAAUUCUCUAACCCUAAAUUCGGUCUUUUAACUUCUCGUUUCUACAUAAACAUCCCUUCAGUAACCUGAAAUUAAAUCCUUCUCUUGAACACUAAAUGCUACAACAAUGGAGGCCAAUGAAAAUGAGAUAUGAGCUGGAAAUCGAGGCGGGCUGGUGUUAUUUGACUUGGAGAAAGAGAAAAUUCAGCUACCGCAAAGUUUGAUGAAAGAGGAGAGAUCAUACAAGCUCUCAAGUAUACUUUCCAGUAUUAUGUGUGAUGCAUGGAGUGUAUAAAAAGAAGCAUUUGGUAAUUAUUGCUACUUCCUGAAUAUGCAAGAUGGUGAUGAAGAUUCUCCAUAGCUAUGCUAUUUGCUUUCUACUUGAUUGUCCGAACAAGGCAUAGCCCAAGUCAUUUCAUUGCUGUACGUAUUGCACCAUCGAACAAUAUGGCUUUUAGUUUCUGGUAAAUGUAGAGCAAUGGCCUUUACUUACUUGGGGCAAGAGAUCGAAUCCAUUCAUAAGAUGAUUUUAUUUUUUUCAAAUUGCAUUUUAAUCCCACGGCCUGAUUAAGAUUGUAUCGUAUCGACUCAUAAGAGCUAUGAAGAUUUGGGAAUUGGAAUUUAACGGGCUCGUAUGCGCAGGCACCCGUGAACACACUUAUAUGUAUGGAUUCGAGAAUUUGUGAGAUUUUCUUGUUUCAACGGAAAGUAGAAAUAAUAUUUUGGCAUCUUCUUCUCUGUGA